GACGAACGCUGGCGGCGUGCUUAACACAUGCAAGUCGAGCGGUAAGGCCUUUCGGGGUACACGAGCGGCGAACGGGUGAGUAACACGUGGGUGAUCUGCCCUGCACUUCGGGAUAAGCCUGGGAAACUGGGUCUAAUACCGGAUAUGACCUCCUAUCGCAUGGUGGGUGGUGGAAAGAUUUAUCGGUGCAGGAUGGGCCCGCGGCCUAUCAGCUUGUUGGUGGGGUAAUGGCCUACCAAGGCGACGACGGGUAGCCGACCUGAGAGGGUGACCGGCCACACUGGGACUGAGACACGGCCCAGACUCCUACAGGAGGCAGCAGUGGGGAAUAUUGCACAAUGGGCGAAAGCCUGAUGCAGCGACGCCGCGUGAGGGAUGACGGCCUUCGGGUUGUAAACCUCUUUCAGCAGGGACGAAGCGCAAGUGACGGUACCUGCAGAAGAAGCACCGGCUAACUACGUG
rnacentral:rRNA from 1 species